rnacentral:rRNA from 1 species
GACGAACGCUGGCGGCGUGCUUAACACAUGCAAGUCGAACGGAAAGGCCUGCUUUCCCUUGUGGAUUGCGGGUACUCGAGUGGCGAACGGGUGAGUAACACGUGAGUGAUCUGCCCCCAACUUGGGUAUAAGCCUGGGAAACUGGGUCUAAUUCCCGAUAGGACUGCAGGGUGGUGCCUGUGGUGGAAAACGAUUUUCUAGUGGUUGGGGAUGAGCUCGCGGCCUAUCAGCUUGUUGGUGGGGUAAUGGCCUACCAAGGCGGCGACGGGUAGCCGGCCUGAGAGGGUGGACCGCCACAUUGGGACUGAGAUACGGCCCCGACUCCUACGGGAGGCAGCAGUGGGGAAUAUUGCACAAUGGGCGGAAGCCUGAUGCAGCGACGCCGCGUGGGGGAUGACGGCCUUCGGGUUGUAAACUCCUUUCGACCGCGAGGAAGCCACCUGGUUGGAAGGGUGGUGACGGUAGUGGUAGAAGAAGCACCGGCUAACUACGUG